rnacentral:rRNA from 1 species
GAUGAACGCUAGCGGCAGGCCUAAUACAUGCAAGUCGAACGGUGGCAGCAAUGUCACAGUGGCGCACGGGUGCGUAACGCGUAGGCAUCUGCCUACUCCUGGGGGAUAGCCCGCCGAAAGGUGGAUUAAUACCGCAUAAGACUACAGGGCGGCAUCGUCUAGUAGUUAAAGAAUUUCGGGAGUAGAUGAGCCUGCGUGCCAUUAGCUAGUUGGUGCGGUAACGUCGCACCAAGGCGACGAUGGCUAGGGGAGCUGAGAGGCCGAUCCCCCACACUGGCACUGAGAUACGGGCCAGACUCCUACGGGAGGCAGCAGUAGGGAAUAUUGGGCAAGGGGCGCGAGCCUGACCCAGCCAUGCCGCGUGACGGAUGAAGGCCUUCUGGGUUGUAAACGUCUUUUGAUCGGGAAGAAAAAGCCCUUGCGAGGGAAAUCGACGGUACCGAUUGAAUAAGCACCGGCUAACUCCGUGCCAGCCGCCGCAGUAACAC